AAAGUUCGACGGCCAGUGAUUAGAGUUUGAUCCUGGCUCAGGACGAACGCUGGCGGCGUGCUUAACACAUGCAAGUCGAACGGGGAAUUUUAUUUCGGUAGAAUUCCUAGUGGCGAACGGGUGAGUAACGCGUAGGCAACCUGCCCUUCAGACGGGGACAACAUUCCGAAAGGGAUGCUAAUACCGGAUACGAAGCUUCUGCCGCACGACGGAAGCUUGAAAGGUGCCCUCAAGCACCGCUGAAGGAUGGGCCUGCGUCCGAUUAGCUGGUUGGUGGGGUAACGGCUCACCAAGGCGACGAUCGGUAGCCGGUCUGAGAGGAUGAACGGCCACAUUGGGACUGAGACACGGCCCAGACUCCUACGGGAGGCAGCAGUGGGGAAUCUUCCGCAAUGGGCGAAAGCCUGACGGAGCAACGCCGCGUGAGUGAUGAAGUUCUUCGGAACGUAAAACUCUGUUGUUCACGACGAACGGGGGGACCAGGAAAUGGGUUCCCAGUGACGGUAGUGAACGAGGAAGCCACGGCUAGCUACGUGCCAGCAGCCGCGGUAAUACGUAGGUGGCAAGCGUUGUCCGGAAUUAUUGGGCGUAAAGCGCAUGUAGGCGGUUCCUUAAGUCGGUCGUGAAAAUGCGGUGCUUAACGCCGUAUGGCGAUCGAAACUGGGGGACUUGAGUGCAGGAGAGGAAAGGGGAACUCCCAGUGUAGCGGUGAAAUGCGUAGAUAUUGGGAAGAACACCGGUGGCGAAGGCGCCUUUCUGGACUGUGUCUGACGCUGAGAUGCGAAAGCCAGGGUAGCGAACGGGAUUAGAUACCCCGGUAGUCCUGGCCGUAAACGAUGGGUACUAGGUGUGGGAGGUAUCGACCCCUUCCGUGCCGGAGUUAACGCAAUAAGUACCCCGCCUGGGGAGUACGGCCGCAAGGCUUAAACUCAAAGGAAUUGACGGGGGCCCGCACAAGCGGUGGAGUAUGUGGUUUAAUUCGACGCAACGCGAGAACCUUACCAAGGCUUGACAUUGAGUGAAGACCUGGAGACAGUCCCCUCUUCGGAGCACGAAAACAGUGUGCAUGCUGUCGUCAGCUCGUGUCGUGAGAUGUGGGUAGUCCGCACGAGCGCACCCCUAUCUUGUUACAGCAUAGUGGGACUCAUAGGAACUGCAAGGAACUGAGAGGCGGAUAGUCAGUCAUAUGCUUAGUCUUGGCUACACGUACUAACAUGUCGCAACAGAGAGAGACGCGAAAUCUCCCAAGGGGGAC
rnacentral:rRNA from 1 species